rnacentral:rRNA from 1 species
GAACUUAAGCAUAUCAAUAAGCGGAGGAAAAGAAACUAACAAGGAUUCCCCUAGUAACUGCGAGUGAAGCGGGAAAAGCUCAAAUUUAAAAUCUGGCGGUCUUUGGCCGUCCGAGUUGUAGUCUGGAGAAGUGCUUUCCGCGCUGGACCGUGUAUAAGUCUCUUGGAACAGAGCGUCAUAGAGGGUGAGAAUCCCGUCUUUGACACGGACUACCAGCGCUUUGUGAUGCGCUCUCAAAGAGUCGAGUUGUUUGGGAAUGCAGCUCAAAAUGGGUGGUGAAUUCCAUCUAAAGCUAAAUAUUGGCGAGAGACCGAUAGCGAACAAGUACCGUGAGGGAAAGAUGAAAAGCACUUUGGAAAGAGAGUUAAACAGUACGUGAAAUUGCUGAAAGGGAAACGCUUGAAGUCAGUCGCGUUGUCCGGAACUCAGCCUUGCUUUUGCUUGGUGCACUUUCCGGAUGACGGGUCAGCAUCGAUUUUGACCGUCGGAAAAGGGCUGGAGUAAUGUGGCACCUCCGGGUGUGUUAUAGACUCUGGUCGCAUACGGCGGUUGGGAUCGAGGAACGCAGCGCGCCGCAAGGCAGGGGUUCGCCCACUUUCGCGCUUAGGAUGCUGGCAUAAUGGCUUUAAACGACCCGUCUUGAAACACGGACCAAGGAGUCUAACAUACCUGCGAGUGUUUGGGUGGAAAACCCGAGCGCGUAAUGAAAGUGAAAGUUGAGACUCCUGUCGUGGGAGGCAUCGACGCCCGGACCUGACGUUCUCUGACGGAUCCGCGGUAGAGCAUGUAUGUUGGGACCCGAAA